AUGCACGCUGGCGGCGUGCCUCAUCCAUGCCAGUCGAGCGAACAGACGAGGAGCUUGCUCCUCUGACGUUAGCGGCGGACGGGUGAGUAACACGUGGAUAACCUACCUAUAAGACUGGGAUAACUUCGGGAAACCGGAGCUAAUACCGGAUAACAUGUUGAACCGCAUGGUUUAACAGUGAAAGACGGUCUUGCUGUCACUUAUAGAUGGAUCCGCGCCGCAUUAGCUAGUUGGUAAGGUAACGGCUUACCAAGGCAACGAUGCGUAGCCGACCUGAGAGGGUGAUCGGCCACACUGGAACUGAGACACGGUCCAGACUCCUACGGGAGGCAGCAGUAGGGAAUCUUCCGCAAUGGGCGAAAGCCUGACGGAGCAACGCCGCGUGAGUGAAGAAGGUCUUCGGAUCGUAAAACUCUGUUAUUAGGGAAGAACAAAUGUGUAAGUAACUAUGCACGUCUUGACGGUACCUAAUCAGAAAGCCACGGCUAACUACGUG
rnacentral:rRNA from 1 species